UACGUAGGGUGCAAGCGUUAAUCGGAAUUACUGGGCGUAAAGGGUGCGUAGGUGGCGCCGUAAGUCGGAUGUGAAAUUUCGGAGCUUAACUCCGAAACUGCAUUCGAUACUGGGUGCUUGAGGACUGGAGAGGAGACUGGAAUUCAUGGUGUAGCAGUGAAAUGCGUAGAGAUCAUGAGGAAGACCAGUGGCGAAGGCGGGUCUCUGGACAGUUCCUGACACUGAGGCACGAAGGCCAGGGGAGCAAACGGG
rnacentral:rRNA from 1 species